GUGUCCACUCCGAGUCCUGCCAGUGCCGGGACCUCCUGCCCCGCGCCGCGGACUUUGCGCCCGCACGCGGCCCACUGCGAGGCGCCUUCUCGCGUCAUCGCGCUUGUGCUGGGAAUCCGGCGGGAAGGCGGCUGGAUUUCCAUCCUUCCCGAGGGGCGGGCAGAGGGCGGGGCCGCCGGGGUCGCCCUUCCGAGAUCUCCCGUCGUCUGUCCAGGUACACCUCAUGGAUUGAUCUGCAGGCGGGAUCAAGUGGCGCCCAGCGUGGGGGCUCCUGGCACGGAGGAGUCAAAGAGGAGCCGUUCGAGACAGCCAGCUUAAAGUGAAAGUGAACUGAACCAGAGACUGCGGAGAGAACUGAGCAAACUAAAUCCAGGAUUAAAGCUAAAAACAAAAGGACAUUAAAUCAAGUACCGAGGCCUGCACAGACCACUACCUGAUGUGCCUGCCAAAGCCACGGUGAGUGAACGGCGACCCCAUUCCCUUUCCCAGACAUGGGUCAAGCAUUGAACGAACACAAAGUGUUCGUGGGAGGCCUUAUAAAGGCAUUCAAGAGAAGAGGGGUAAGGGUUAGAACAAAAGAAUUAUUGCAGUAUUUUCAAUUUAUCCAUAAGGUUUGCCCUAGAGGUUCUAUAGAUACCAAGUGGUGGAAAAGAGUAAGAGAUGCUUUAAAAGAUUAUUAUAGGGUUUUCGGUCCAGAAAAGGUUCCAGUGACCAUCUUUGCAUAUUGGAAUUUAAUCUGAGCUGCUUGCCCAGCGGCAUGCAGAUCCUCAGAUUGAGGAGACAGUCGCACAAGGCCUUGUAGUGCUCCUAAGAUAGCACCGGCCUCCGGCAAGCCUCGUGGCGCUCUUAAAAUGGUGCUUGUCUCACUUCCGCCACAUCAGCCUGGGUCCCUCCUCGAAAUUGCGUUUCCAGUGACAGAAACAAACGUACCUCCCCAAGAUGGCACUGCACAGCCGUAAGACGGCGCGGGCGCUGCACCACUAGCUCCACAAGUCAUUAGGACACACACGCCAUUCACAGUGGCUGCUUUAAAAGAAUUAAAGGCAGCGGUUGCCCAAUAUGGCCUUACAGCUGCUUUCAUUCUUGCUGUUUUAAAUUCUCUGGCUGACAGCUGGCUCACACCUAUAGAUUGGCAAAAAUUGGCCCGAGUGACUUUACUGGGUGGGGAAAAUCUUUUGUAAAAAUCAAAAUAUACAAAAAAUUGCAAAGAGACCGCCAGGCACAAUACACAGGCUGGCAAUAGGUGGGACCUUAAUAUGUUAAUAGUGAAAGAUGCCUAUGCAUGCAGAAAGGCUCAAAAAGAGUUUAAUCCAACACUAUUCGCUCAAAUUCAAACAGCCUGCAAAAGAUAAUAUGAGCUCCUCUCUCACUAGCAUUAAGCAAGGCCCAGAUAAACCCUUUUCAGAGUUUGUUGAUUGUUUGAUUGCUGCUGCUAGUGGAGUCUUUGGCCACGCUGAUGCAGGCACUGAUUUGUUGAACAGCUGGUUUUUAUUUAUUUAUUUUUGUCUUUUUUUUCGUUUUUAUCGGUACCAGGGAUCGAACUCACGACUGCCUGCUUGCAAGGCAGGUGCUUAUGACGCUGAGCUAAAUCCCCAGCCCCCAACAGCUGGCUUUUAAAGGCGCCGGCACCAUCUGCCGGGCCGCUGUCAGACCUUGUAAAAAUAGAACAGGCCUAACAGGAUAUAUACACCUUUGCUGUGGCUGCUGCCUUGCAGGGGUUUGCAGUUGGACAGUUCUUGUCUCAAAAGCAUGAACAGGACUUUUUGCCUGUGGAGAAAUAGUCAUUUUACAGAAAAGAGGUGGAGAUUCCAAUGUCAACUACUUUGACUCAUUUAACUAAUCAGAGUGAUAUUGCUCUAAUCUCUUAAGUUUAAUUUCAGCAUAUGUAAGGAUGGGGACAACUGCUAAAAGGAGAAUGAGAGACAGUAUGGUAGUUAUUAUUGUCUUCCCCAAUGUCAGAUCUUGAAAACCUAAGGAGCCUUCAUCAUCCUGUAGUGAUUAGAUUAGUUCUAUAAUAUGCAGUGUGUAUUUAAUGUGCGUAAAGAUGGGCACAACUGUUUGGAGGAAACUAGAGACAAUUAGAUGAACAAUGAAGAUCUCUAGUGGACUUGCUUUGAAAUCUGUAUUUCUUUAAAUCGUUUUUUAAAAACGGUUUUGUUCUGUUUUGGUAUGUUUGGUCUUGCCCUCUUUGAGAUAAAAAACAAGUGUAUUGGACUGAUAACCAUAUUAUUAAGUUUUUGUUGGAUCACUGAGCAGAACUGUUGGCAAUGUCCCUGUCGCUUUGCAUGCUUUAAUUUUGUAACCUGGACAGCUGUUUCUGGGAUGACAGUGUGAAACUUAUUAACUGUUGAUUUCUUACCAUUUAUUUUCCUGUAAUUCUGUAUUAAGAUCACUAGAAAACAAGCCAGGCAGAUAGUAAAAAAUUGCCUUUCUUGUGCCAUGCACCUCCCAGUUCCAAACUUUGAGGUUAAUCCUAAAAGACUUAUCCUCAAUGCAUCAUGGCAAAUGGAUGUCAUCCACAUUCCUGAGCUUGGCAAUCUUAAAUAUGUUCAUUUAACUAUAGAUAUCUUUAAUGGUGUCAUUUACAUCUCUCCCCAGACUGGCAAAGCUACCAAACGUUAUUAGCCAUAUGUUAACUACCUUAUCAGUUUUGAGAUGCCCACAACAAUUAAAGACUGAUAAUGGUCCAGACUAUGCUAGUUCUGCCUUUGCUCAUUUCUGUCAACAUCUUAAUAUUGAUCAUAUAAAAGACAUACCUUAUAACUCUCAGCGUCAAGGCAUAGUUAAAAGGGCACAUCUUUUCCUAAAACUCACUGUUGAUAAAAUAAAAAGGGGGGAAUGGUACUCUACAAGGAGGACACCUAAAAAUAUUCUAUCUCAUGCCUUAUUCAUCCUUAAUUUUUUAAAUUUGGAUGCUUCUGGACAGUCAGCAGCCAUGCGUUUUUGGCAUUCUGAAACACAAAAGCAAUUUGCUUCAGUACUAUAGAAAGACCCCCUGACUAAUUCAUGGCAUGUCCCUGAUCCCAUUCUCAUAGGGGACGAGGUUCAGUAUGUGUUUACUCUCAACAAGAUAGACAGGCUAGAUGGCUACCUGAGCGCCUUGUAAAACAAAUAGACAGUUCUUCAAAGACCCCAUGCAACGCCCAGGAAUAAUGUCAUUUCCUGAGGCACAAUCCCCUGUGUUCUCUUACAGGUGACACAACCCCCUGGAGCCCUAUGCUGCCUACUCGGCCUUCUCCUUGAGCCGUACCACACCCAUGGUGGAUUUCGACCCCUGCCAAACACACUACAACUGCUGACAGCCAUGCACAGAACCCCUUGUGACUGCGGAGGAGGCUCUUCUCGGUCUGGAGGAACAUAAACCAGCCAAAUAGACUGCGUCCGGUGUUAUGCGAGACAAGCUCCAAGAAAUAGAAGAACGACUUCAACAGCAACAAUAACAAAUGGCUGCCAACCCCUUCUCCUCGAUGUGUGUGCGGGGCGGGGAGCUUUUCCCUUACCUAGCGCCCCUUUUGGGUCCCCUAGCUGCCCUAUUGCUUCUCCUUUCUGUGAGUGCUCAGGUUCUGAUGCAUUCAUUCAAUGCUGAAUUCUACAAGAAUCUCAGGGAAGAUCUGGCAUCAGUGCUCCUCAAGCUUUUUAAUGAGAUUGAAAGGCAAGGAGCACUCUCCUGGAAGCUAUCAUUACCCUGUCACUAUUACAUAAACAUAGCAAAAUGCAGUAAACUGGUCCUGAGGCAAAAUCUGGGGCUUACAUCUCGUCCCUCGGUCCACUUCUGUAGACCACUACAGAAACACGAACUGAAGCAUCACCAUGUUGUACAUUAGACCUUCCAGCUACUUUACCCUCCUGGAUGACUCUCUGUACUGUUUAAAAAGCAAGUAUCAUGAACAUUAAAAAACAAAUACAGUGCAAAAGGGCUUACAUAAAUCUUGCUUUUCUUAUACUGAAUCAAUUGAUUUAUACCUUCUCAUAAAGUCUUCUUUGUGCUUCAAGUUCCAGAUGUCUCAUUUCUAGGUCUUUGGUUGUGUUAGCAAUUUCUCGAUCUCUCAUUUGUACCUAUGGCCAAACAACAAAUUGUCAAUAUGAAAAAGAAUUUACAAAGUAAUUUUUAAUGGAUUUAGUAACCUCACAAUCUGAACACCCACUCAUGGACAGUAUUUACAGUAAUAAGGACUGGGUUUUUGAACUAGAGUAAUUGGUAAUAUACUAAUAUGCAACAUUCACUUAAUGUUAAUAAAAAUCUGUUUUUAUAAUCUAAUUAGUAACUAAUAACUUCAGCUUGAAAGUUACGGUUUACUGUGUAACAGACCUAAUUUAGACUUCACUAUUCUCUAAAACUUGAUUACUUGGAAGCUUUUCAUUCCAGUACUAGAGGGUCUGGAGAAGGCAUUUUCCAGAGAAGAGAAAUCAUCUUAAAACUUUUGCUGCCUAAAGUCAUAAAUAUUUUUAGGGAUGAGAGAAAAAUAUAUGGUAUUUUUUUCAAACAAAAUCAAACAAGUAAACAAACAAAAACUAUAUGAGCCAUUUAUCCCGUUAAUUUGUGCAUUUAUGUAGUAUACAUUUAGUGACUGCAUUACUACUUGCAUUCACAAGGCAGGUUACCUACUGUUGAGUAGAGACGAAUUACCCAUAACACGAGAAGCAGUAAAUGCGAACCGAGUGGUGUGUCCAAACAUACCCAUGGGCUCAAAGAAACAGAGGAUGGUUCACCUUGAGGAGGUUACUGGGAAAACAGGUAGCUCAAAAGUGUAGAGGUUGCAGUCCAUAAACAAGAGUAAUGAUAAUGCUAACAGGUGGAACAUAUGCUGUUAAGGAGUUUCAGUUACAGAUUCUUUUGCAUACGGAUUUUCAGAAAUCCAUAUUACAGCUAUGUAACAGCAAAAAUAGAUCAACUAUAAAACCAAAAACCAAAACAAAACCCAGCACAACUCCGCUUACUACUGACGCAAGCCCACAGUAUGUGACACUUGGGACUGAGGGGAACGUUUGCAGGUGGGCAAGCGGACACAGUAACACGAUGGACAGCUGGAAGGAAAGGCAGCUGGAAGGGCAGACAGAGGCCUGACCGCGCUGAUGGGACGGUAGGGUUCUUUGACUAAAGAAUGCCUUAUCCUAUCUUCAGAGGGUUUGGAAUAAAGGCAUCAGUUCUGAGCUGGUGUAAUUUGUGAGGAAGAACAUAUAUUCUUUCAGAAUCAAACAGUAAUCUAAUUCACUACAUGGGAUAAUUAAAAAGAAUCAUACAUUGUAAAAAAUCAAUUUGCUCUAAAAACAAGAAGCAUUAUGCUAUAAAAAGUGAUAAUAGAUUUCUAAAGCAGAUGAAUUAAACUUAAAAGAACUGAAAAAAUAAAAGAGCUGGGCAUGGUGGCUCACGCCUGUAACCCCAACACUAGGGAGGCUGAGGCAUUAGGAGCGUUGCAAGUUCAGGACCAGCCUGGGCUACCAAGUGAGCUCAAGGCCAAUUUGAACUGCAUAGUGAGACCCUGUCUCAAAAAGACAAAAAACAAAACAAAACAAAAACCUUUAAAAGAUGUAAAAAUACUUAAUAUUUUGUCAAAACUAGUUUUUCCUUAUUUAAAAAUUAAGUUUAUUGGUACAUUUUAGGCAUACAUAACGAUACACUGAUCACAGGAAAUCUGCACAUGUACAUGAUACAACCUUUUCCCAAUUUCCCUUCCCUCCCUUCAACUCCUCUUCUCCUCUUUACUGCAGUUUUAUCUUCAUUUUUUUCUUUUCUCUCUCUUCCCUUCCUUUCCUAUUCUCUCUUCGCAAGAUCCCCUUCCCAUUAGAACAUUUUCUAUUUCACAGAAUCUAUUGCAUGUUUUGGUCCUUAUUUACACUUUCUGCUUCUCACAGCACAGUAACAUCGUGGUACUGUAAGUGCCUGUCAUUUUGUGGCACUGUCUUAGGAACAGACAGCAAAGAGAUUAAGUACACGUGGGAAUUUAAUAUGGUAUAAAUCAUUAGUUGGCAAAUGACUUUUGUAACAUUCAACAGAUGGUUUUGGGACAGCUGAUUUGUCCUUUGGAGAGAAGUAAGCUUGGUCCCUAACUCAUUUCUAGUCUCAGAUUUUCAGACCCCUCAGAGGCUGGCAAAGAUCUUCUGCAAAGGGCUGGGUAAUAAAUCCUUCAGGCUUUGUGGGUCACACAGUAGUCACGAUCACUCGCGCAUACUGCUGCUGCAGUACAAAUGCAACCAAAGACAGCAUGAAAACAAGUAUGUAUAAAUAUAUUUUUGCAAAAUUUCACUUAUCAACAUCAUAGUUUGAAUCACAUGUAUUUUAUAAAAUUCAAUAAAAUCUUUAUGUCAUGAAA